GUCUCCGUGGCGUAGCUGGCUAGCGCAUACGGCUGUUAACUAGCUGAAACCGUAAGGUCGUCAGUUCGAUCCUGACCGGGGACG
rfam:Aspergillus ustus strain 3.3904 ATSC_102, whole genome shotgun sequence.